CUUCUUUGUAACGUUCCUCCAUCAUCUUAUCAAAUUCUUCCUCAUCCAUAGCCUCCUCUUUGGGAAUAAAUGAGAUAUUCUGCAUUUUCACUGGUUCUUUCUUGAUCUUGACUUUCAGCUCAAUGUCAAAUUCAUCGUCAUCAAAAUCACUCUGGUCGCUCUCGUCGUCGUCGACCUCAGCUGUAUCCUCGAAGAACUGAAGAACCUCGCGGUUUCUCCUCUUCCGACCACUUCCGGGAUUGUCUUCAUCAGCACCCCCACCCCGCUUCCGCUUGUCGCCGGAGGAGGAUGUUCCGGUGGCGACCUCCUUGCCUUUGGAUGCCAUUUCGAAGCCACAACGUGAGGGUUGUACC
rnacentral:misc_RNA from 1 species